GCCUCCCUAGCGCAACUGGAUAGCGCAACGGUCCUCGGAACCGUGGGUUGUGGGUUCGAACCCCACGGGGGGCA
rfam:Lactobacillus harbinensis DSM 16991 NODE_23, whole genome shotgun sequence.